rnacentral:rRNA from 1 species
UACAGAGGUCUCAAGCGUUGUUCGGAUUCAUUGGGCGUAAAGGGCGCGUAGGCGGCUCGGAAAGUCGGUCGUGAAAUGCCGGGGCUCAACCCCGGGACUGCGUCCGAUACUUCCGGGCUGGAGGUAGGUAGGGGAGAUCGGAAUUCCUGGUGUAGCGGUGGAAUGCGCAGAUAUCAGGAAGAACACCAAUGGCGAAAGCAGCUCUCUGGGAACGGUACUGACGCUGAGACGCGAAAGCGUGGGGAGCGAACAGG